rnacentral:rRNA from 1 species
AUUGAACGCUGGCGGCAUGCCUUACACAUGCAAGUCGAACGGCAGCACGGGAGCAAUCCUGGUGGCGAGUGGCGAACGGGUGAGUAAUAUAUCGGAACGUGCCCAGUCGUGGGGAUAACGUAGCGAAAGCUACGCUAAUACCGCAUACGAUCUAUGGAUGAAAGCGGGGGAUCGCAAGACCUCGCGCGAUUGGAGCGGCCGAUAUCAGAUUAGGUAGUUGGUGAGGUAAAGGCUCACCAAGCCGACGAUCUGUAGCUGGUCUGAGAGACGACCAGCCACACUGGGACUGAGACACGGCCCAGACUCCUACGGGAGGCAGCAGUGGGGAAUUUUUGGACAAUGGGCGCAAGCCUGAUCCAGCAAUGCCGCGUGCAGGAUGAAGGCC